rnacentral:RNase_P_RNA from 1 species
CCUGUGCAUCGCUCCACCGCUGUCCCGCGCGAGCGGGAUGGAGGAAAGUCCGGGCAGCGUAGGGCACCGUGCUUCCUAACGGGAAGGGGCGCCGCUGGGAACGGCGGCGUCACGGAAAGUGCCGCAGAAAGGGAGACCGCCUUCCGCAAGGAGGGUAAGGGUGAAAAGGUGAGGUAAGAGCUCACCAGCAUCGGUGGCGACAUCGGUGGCUUGGUAAACCCCACGGGCUGCAAGACCAUGUAAACCGGAGCAGGAACGGCUCGUUCCGUCCGCUGAAAAGCGGAAUCCGGAGGGUAGGUUGCUCGAGGUCCAUCGCGAGGUGGAUCCCAGAUAGAUGGUGGAGGUCCCGCGCAAGCGGGGGACAGAACCCGGCUUACAGAUGCACAGGCUUU